CCUACGGGAGGCAGCUGUGAGGAAUAUUGGUCAAUGGACGAGAGUCUGAACCAGCCAAGUAGCGUGAGGGAUGAAUGCCCUGUGGGUUGUAAACUUCUUUUAUAUGGGAAUAAAAUGUGCCACGUGUGGGCUUUUGUAUGUACCAUAUGAAUAAGGAUCGGCUAACUCCGUGCCAGCAGCCGCGGUAAUACGGAGGAUCCGAGCGUUAUCCGGAUUUAUUGGGUUUAAAGGGUGCGUAGGUGGAUUGUUAAGUCAGUUGUGAAAGUCUGCGGCUCAACCGUAAAAUUGCAGUUGAAACUGGCAGUCUUGAGUACAGUAGAGGUGGGCGGAAUGCGUGGUGUAGCGGUGAAAUGCUUAGAUAUCACGAAGAACUCCGAUUGCGAAGGCAGCUCACUGGACUGCAACUGACACUGAGGCUCGAAAGUGUGGGUAUCAAACAGGAUUAGAUACCCCGGUAGUC
rnacentral:rRNA from 1 species